UACGUAGGGGGCAAGCGUUGUCCGGAAUCAUUGGGCGUAAAGAGCUCGUAGGCGGUUCAGUAAGUCGGGUGUGAAAGCUCCGAGCUCAACUCGGAGAGGCCACUCGAUACUGCUGUGACUAGAAUCCAGUAGGGGAGUGUGGAACUCCUGGUGUAGCGGUGAAAUGCGCAGAUAUCAGGAAGAACACCAGCGGCGAAGGCGGCACUCUGGGCUGGUAUUGACGCUGAGGAGCGAAAGUGUGGGUAGCAAACAGGAUUAGAAACCCUUGUAGUCC
rnacentral:rRNA from 1 species